rnacentral:rRNA from 1 species
AGGGCACCACCAGGAGUGGAGCCUGCGGCUUAAUUUGACUCAACACGGGGAAACUCACCCGGCCCGGACACCGGAAGGAUUGACAGAUUGAUUGCUCUUUCUUGAUUCGGUGGAUGGUGGUGCAUGGCCGUUCUUAGUUGGUGGAGCGAUCUGUCUGGUUAAUUCCGAUAACGAACGAGACUCUAGCCUAUUAAAUAGACGUCGGGUUCUCUGCACUCGACGGUCUUCUUAGAGGGACAAGGUGCUUUUAGCACCGCGAAACAGAGCAAUAACAGGUCUGUGAUGCCCUUAGAUGUCCGGGGCCGCACGCGCGCUACACUGAAGGAAGCAGCGUGUAACAACCUUGUUCUAACGAACUGGGUAACCCGUGGAACUUCCUUCAUGAUUGGGAUAGGGGUUUGCAAUUUUGCCCCUUGAACGAGGAAUUCCCAGUAAACACUAGUCAUCAGCUAGUGCUGAUUACGUCCCUGCCCUUUGUACACACCGCCCGUCGCUACUACCGAUUGAAUGGUUUAGUGA